UGACCUGGGCGGGCUGCUAUACAUGCAAGUCGAACGAGUUCUCGUUGAUGAUCGGUGCUUGCACCGAGAUUCAACAUGGAACGAGUGGCGGACGGGUGAGUAACACGUGGGUAACCUGCCCUUAAGUGGGGGAUAACAUUUGGAAACAGAUGCUAAUACCGCAUAGAUCCAAGAACCGCAUGGUUCUUGGCUGAAAGAUGGCGUAAGCUAUCGCUUUUGGAUGGACCCGCGGCGUAUUAGCUAGUUGGUGAGGUAAUGGCUCACCAAGGCGAUGAUACGUAGCCGAACUGAGAGGUUGAUCGGCCACAUUGGGACUGAGACACGGCCCAAACUCCUACGGGAGGCAGCAGUAGGGAAUCUUCCACAAUGGACGCAAGUCUGAUGGAGCAACGCCGCGUGAGUGAAGAAGGCUUUCGGGUCGUAAAACUCUGUUGUUGGAGAAGAAUGGUCGGCAGAGUAACUGUUGUCGGCGUGACGGUAUCCAACCAGAAAGCCACGGCUAACUACGUGCCAGCAGCCGCGGUAAUACGUAGGUGGCAAGCGUUAUCCGGAUUUAUUGGGCGUAAAGCGAGCGCAGGCGGUUUUUUAAGUCUGAUGUGAAAGCCCUCGGCUUAACCGAGGAAGCGCAUCGGAAACUGGGAAACUUGAGUGCAGAAGAGGACAGUGGAACUCCAUGUGUAGCGGUGAAAUGCGUAGAUAUAUGGAAGAACACCAGUGGCGAAGGCGGCUGUCUGGUCUGUAACUGACGCUGAGGCUCGAAAGCAUGGGUAGCGAACAGGAUUAGAUACCCUGGUAGUCCAUGCCGUAAACGAUGAAUGCUAGGUGUUGGAGGGUUUCCGCCCUUCAGUGCCGCAGCUAACGCAUUAAGCAUUCCGCCUGGGGAGUACGACCGCAAGGUUGAAACUCAAAGGAAUUGACGGGGGCCCGCACAAGCGGUGGAGCAUGUGGUUUAAUUCGAAGCAACGCGAAGAACCUUACCAGGUCUUGACAUCUUUUGAUCACCUGAGAGAUCAGGUUUCCCCUUCGGGGGCAAAAUGACAGGUGGUGCAUGGUUGUCGUCASCUCGKGYCGKGAGAUGUKGGGUUAAGUCCCGCAACGAGCSCAACCCUUAUGACUAGUUGCCAGCAUUUAGUUGGGCACUCUAGUAAGACUGCCGGUGACAAACCGGAGGAAGGUGGGGAUGACGUCAAAUCAUCAUGCCCCUUAUGACCUGGGCUACACACGUGCUACAAUGGAUGGUACAACGAGUUGCGAGACCGCGAGGUCAAGCUAAUCUCUUAAAGCCAUUCUCAGUUCGGACUGUAGGCUGCAACUCGCCUACACGAAGUCGGAAUCGCUAGUAAUCGCGGAUCAGCACGCCGCGGUGAAUACGUUCCCGGGCCUUGUACACACCGCCCGUCACACCAUGAGAGUUUGUAACACCCGAAGCCGGUGGCGUAACCCUUUUAGGGAGCGAGCCGUCUAAGGGGACCCAAAAU
rnacentral:rRNA from 1 species